GCUGGGUGUGGUGGCCCACACCUGUAAUCCCAGUGGCUCUGGAGGCUGAGACAGGAGGAUAGGGAGUUCAAAGUCAGCCUCAGCAAAAGGGAAGCCCUAAGCAACUCAGUGAGACACUGUCUCUU
rnacentral:sRNA from 1 species